rnacentral:rRNA from 1 species
CAGCCGCCACGGGAAUACGUAGGGUGCGAGCGUUAAUCGGAAUUACUGGGCGUAAAGCGUGCGUAGGUGGUGGUUUAAGUCCGUUGUGAAAGCCCUGGGCUCAACCUGGGAAUUGCAGUGGAUACUGGGUCACUAGAGUGUGGUAGAGGAUAGUGGAAUUUCCGGUGUAGCAGUGAAAUGCGUAGAGAUAGGAAGGAACAUCAGUGGCGAAGGCGACCACCUGGACUGAUACUGACACUGAGGUGCGAAAGCGUGGGGAGCAAACAGGAUUAGAUACCCGCGUAGUCCCUGUCUCUUAUAC